UCAAACUUGGUCAUUUAGAGGAAGUAAAAGUCGUAACAAGGUUUCCGUAGGUGAACCUGCGGAAGGAUCAUUAACGAAUCUCGAAGGGGAUUGCAGCUGGCCUCUCGGGGCAAGUGCUCGUCCUCGUCAGAUCCACUCGACACCUGUGCACAUCCGAGGGGGAAAGGGAACGCGGGCUUGUGCCCUCGUUUCCUGGCCCUUUCCAUCACAUACACACGCUGAAUGUAUCUCGGAAAGUAGAAUGAACGCCCUCGUGGCAAUUGAUAAAUACAACUUUCAACAACGGAUCUCUUGGCUCUCGCAUCGAUGAAGAACGCAGC
rnacentral:misc_RNA from 1 species